GUGGGGAAUCUUAGACAAUGGGGGAAACCCUGAUCUAGCCAUGCCGCGUGAGCGAUGAAGGCCUUAGGGUUGUAAAGCUCUUUCAGAGGGGAAGAUAAUGACGGUACCCUCAGAAGAAGCCCCGGCUAACUCCGUGCCAGCAGCCGCGGUAAUACGGAGGGGGCUAGCGUUGUUCGGAAUUACUGGGCGUAAAGCGCACGUAGGCGGACCAGAAAGUCAGGGGUGAAAUCCCGGGGCUCAACCCCGGAACUGCCUUUGAAACUCCUGGUCUUGAGGUCGAGAGAGGUGAGUGGAAUUCCGAGUGUAGGGGUGAAAUGCGUAGAUAUUCGGAGGAACACCAGUGGCGAAGGCGGCUCACUGGCUCGAUACUGACGCUGAGGUGCGAAAGCGUGGGGAGCAAACAGGAUUAGAUACCCUAGUAGUCC
rnacentral:rRNA from 1 species